CCAACACCGACAGCCUUGCAAUAACGAUUAAAUUAGAUGUGAAUUGUUCUUGGAAUUCAUAACUGGAACCACUAAUAAUACAUUUCAGUGGUUUAUCUCUAUUAAUUGUUCUUCUUGCGAUGUUAUUAAAUGUCUCCAGUGCAUUUUAUUGGAUGGCUUUGCUGAGAGCAAGUUCAGCCAUCGCGAGUUUAAAGCUUAUAGUGAAGGCAGCAGCAGGAACUAAUAACCUAGUUCCUAGUUCCUGGCAGCAGGGUGUUCUCAUCGAGUUCGGAACAAGCAAGGUCAUAUCCGGCGACAUUAGGAGAAUAUCCGACAACAUUAGGAGAAAAGCAAUAUGUGCCAAUCCAGGUAGACAAAAAAAACUGAAAAUGAGCAGUUUGUCGGAAAGGAUUUAUUCAUCAUCAAACGAAUCGAGGAGAAAAAUAUUGUGCUGGCAGAAUAACAAAAUACCAUAAAAAUCGAAUAUCGCGGCUCUCUACAACACGAUUUCUAUCGAAACGCAGAAAUUAAGCCACCGAAAAGCAGAAGUAACUUCCUGACCGUUUCCCAUCGGAGGGACUAGAGGCGAUCUCCAGAUGAUCGGCGUUGGAUAUCAAAAAGGUAACUUCUACAGUCAACUCUAUUCCGACAGACAUAUGACCUCUCAGUGCAACUCCAUCUCUGGCGGCAUUUAUCUUCCAAAUCCGAACAAAAGUUUGAAGCGAUGCCACUGCCUUUACCCAUGCCAAGGAUUAGAAGACCGGUGCCUCAUUCAACAUGGUGAUUACUCAAUGGUUUUCCGAUGCAGCGCCUGUACCUGUAGAAGCUGAAAAGUUAUGCUUCCGAGGAACUCUGUUAGAAGUUUGCGGUCAGGUGCAAGUCCUAAUCAUCCACAAUCCGCAGCCAAAAAAUCAGGCUGUCCACGAAACCGUUGCUUUACCUUAUCUGCAUCACUCAUCCACCGAAAACCUGCUCUAUUAAUAGUAUAACACAUAAUGCAGUGAAAUUCAG